rnacentral:rRNA from 1 species
GGAUUCCCCUAGUAACUGCGAGUGAAGCGGGAAAAGCUCAAAUUUUGAAUCUGGCAGUCAUCAUAGGCUGUCCGAAUUGUAAUCUAGAGAAGCGUCUUCCGCGCUGGACCGUGUACAAGUCUCCUGGAAGGGAGCGUCAUAGAGGGUGAGAAUCCCGUCUUUGACACGGACUACCAGUGCUUAUGUGUGCGCUCUCGACGAGUCGAGUUGUUUGGGAAUGCAGCUCAAAAUGGGUGGUAAAUUCCAUCUAAAGCUAAAUACAGGCGAGAGACCGAUAGCGAACAAGUACCGUGAGGGAAAGACGAAAAGAACUUUGAAAAGAGAGUUAAAUAGUACGUGAAAUUGCUGAAAGGGAAACACUUGAUGUCAGUCGCGUUGAUUAGGGGUCAGCCUUGCUCGAUUGCUUGGUGUAAUUCCUAGUUGAUGGGUCAGCGUCAGUUUUGAUUGCUGUACAUAGGCUUGGGGAAAGUAGCACUCUUUAGGGAGUGUGUUAUAGACUCUUGUCGGAUGCAGUGGUUGGGACUGAG